rnacentral:rRNA from 1 species
UACGGAGGUGGCAAGCGUUGUUCGGAAUUACUGGGCGUAAAGGGCGCGUAGGCGGCUUGGCAAGUCAGAUGUGAAAGCCCCGGGCUUAACCCGGGAAUUGCAUCUGAAACUGCUUUGCUUGAGUCCUGGAUGGGAUAGUGGAAUUCCCAGUGUAGCGGUGAAAUGCGUAGAUAUUGGGAGGAACACCUGCGGCGAAGGCGGCUAUCUGGACAGUGACUGACGCUGAGGCGCGAAAGCUAGGGGAGCGAACGGG